AGUGAACGCUGGCGGUAGGCCUAACACAUGCAAGUCGAACGGCAGCACAGUAAGAGCUUGCUCUUACGGGUGGCGAGUGGCGGACGGGUGAGGAAUACAUCGGAAUCUACUUUUUCGUGGGGGAUAACGUAGGGAAACAUACGCUAAUACCGCAUACGACCUACGGGUGAAAGCAGGGGAGCUUCGGACCUUGCGCGAGUGAAUGAGCCGAUGUCGGAUUAGCUAGUUGGCGGGGUAAAGGCCCACCAAGGCGACGAUCCGUCGCUGGUCUGAGAGGAGGAACAGCCACACUGGGACUGAGACGCGGUACAGACACCUACGGGAGGCAGCAGUGGGGACUAGUGGAAGAUGGGGGGAAGCCUGAUCCAGCCAUACAGGGUGGGUGAAGAAGGGCUUCGGGUGGGAUAGCCGUUUUGGCGUGGAAGAAAAGCUGCAGGUUAAAACCAGGCUGUUGUGACGGUACCCAGAGAAGAAGCACCGGCUAACUUCGUG
rnacentral:rRNA from 1 species